rnacentral:rRNA from 1 species
GACGAACGCUGGCGGCGUGCUUAACACAUGCAAGUCGUACGGUAAGGCCCUUUCGGGGGUACACGCGUGGCGAACGGGUGAGUAACACGUGAGUAACCUGCCCACAACUUUGGGAUAACGCUAGGAAACUGGUGCUAAUACUGGCUAUGUGCUCCUGCUGCAUGGUGGGGGUUGGAAAGCUCCGGCGGUUGUGGGUGGACUCGCGGCCUAUCAGCUUGUUGGUGGGGUAGUGGCCUACCAAGGCGGCGACGGGUAGCCGGCCUGAGAGGGUGACCGGCCACAUUGGGACUGAGAUACGGCCCAGACUCCUACGGGAGGCAGCAGUGGGGAAUAUUGCACAAUGGGCGCAAGCCUGAUGCAGCAACGCCGCGGGCGGGAUGACGGCCUUCGGGUUGUAAACCGCUUUCAGCAGGGACGAAGCUUUUUGUGACGGUACCUGCAGAAGAAGCACCGGCUAACUACGUG